UUUUUUGCUAAUUUUUUUCCCAACUUGAUGGCUUAGGCCAGAGUCUUUCAAGAAAAAAAGUCUUAUUAGAGAAGUCUUCAUAUCUCGUGAGGAUGAAUUAAAAGCAGAAUCUCAACUUUGCUACCUUUAAAUGUCACGGAGAGAAAAAACUGCAAAACCAUGUGCAACAAUAUCCAUGAUAAAUCAUCUUUGAUCUCAACAUAACGGAGACUAUAAGGAGUAUAAAGACUAGAAGAAAGAGUAGAAGGUGAUCCACAAUCAAUUCAGAACCUGGUCUUCUAUGGUGGCUCACAGUUCCUGCACCCUACAAUAUCGUGGUAAUGAUGAAAGCUAGCCAUCUUGUUUAUUACAUGUUUCUCAGUACUUAAAUAUGGAGUCAGAAUUCUUUCACCACCGUGGGACUCCCAGGCCCCUCACUGUGGUACUUCUGUUGCUGGCACCUGGAAAGCCUGUUAGAGCACCUAGAAAGCCUGUACCUCUGUUGGGAGUGCACAUCUAC
rnacentral:lncRNA from 1 species